rnacentral:rRNA from 1 species
UACGUAGGGGGCAAGCGUUGUCCGGAAUCAUUGGGCGUAAAGCGCGUGUAGGCGGCCCGGUAAGUCCGCUGUGAAAGUCCAGGGCUCAACCCUGGGAUGCCGGUGGAUACUGUCGGGCUCGAGUCCGGAAGAGGCGAGUGGAAUUCCCGGUGUAGCGGUGAAAUGCGCAGAUAUCGGGAGGAACACCAAUGGCGAAGGCAGCUCGCUGGGACGUUACUGACGCUGAGACGCGAAAGCGUGGGGAGCAAACAGG